UUUGGCGAACCACCAGGUUGAGGGAAGCAACCCUUUUAAGCCGAAGCCAUCCUUUCUGCCAGAAGACACCCAUCAGCAAGGUCUCAAACGCUCGCCGGCACCCGCUUGGCCCUUUUGAUAAUAAGUGUUGGGGUUUUGUUGAAUCGGAUCGCGAGCUGUGAGGGUCGUAUCAUAUUCGUGUCGAGUCGGUCGCACAUUCUUCCCCAAAGAGAAAGAGAAACUUCAUGACCAACGAGACAGCCGGCGAGGGGAGGGCGGGGACGCCCUCUUCACAGUCGCGCGAGAGAAUACAACAAUUGAUGACAGUGAUGAGGUGAAAGACCGAAUAGUGGAGGGUAUUUUCCCCAGUGGAAAAAAAAUGGCCACCGUUGAUCCCAAACUGCACCUGGACGAUUGUUGCAGACAAGAGAACAGAUGUGGUAAUGACUGGUGACAGUACACAACAACGCUGUUCCAAUGCACGAAUUACGCCGUCCAAGUUUUUGUUCUUCUGGCUUCUUUUCUACAACCAUUGGAUUUCCACCUUGACCCGAAUAUAUGAGAACAUCAGCAGAUUCUGCAUCUUUUGCAUACCUACCAGAGACAAGAAUACUUGUGGCAAGAAUCUUCUCAUCUUUUUUCAUUUAAACUAUACCACCUUGAAACUGACGAAGAAGUCCAUUAACAUGUUCUACCUAAAUCGGAACCUGUCACCAACUUCAACACCAGGGAGCAGUCCUAACAGCUUCUCAGUUUUAACCCAUUCUUGUUAUCCCAAGUUGCUUAGAAUGACUUUUUAUCUGAUAACAAACUCAUUGUUGGCAAUUGCGCAUAUGUUUUGUGUUGUGCAGGGUGUGUGCAUUGUGUGUGUGAAUGAUGUGCUGGUUGCGCGCGUCUCUGCCUGUAAACUAAAAUAAUAAUCUCAUAUUUUAUAUCUAGGUGUGUGAAAAUAUCUAGAGGGCAAUUGCUGCUUAAAAGAGGAUGGAGGUGGAAAUGGUUGGCAACAAUGUUGUACGAAUGUCUAGAACAAAUAAAGACAACAAAAACCUGCUUCCAUGUUGUCCUUGCUUGGCUACCCAUUUGGACCAACUAUGUUGCCCUCUCAUUUAUUGGUGACUAGCUUCAAUCUAAAUCAUUUUGUAAUAACCAUAAAAGUUACAUAGUAUCUUUCCCUCAUCUUACCAUUGUAAUGUAUUUGUGGCGACUGGGUUUUGUCUGGGGAUAAGAAAGAGGUUAACGAUGGCAAGCUUGGUAUUUCAAAACCUUCGAUUGGCAUUUGGAAGAGCACGAUAGGUGUGAUUGAUUUGAGGAUGUUGGCGGCAUUUUAUGCACUUGUUAGGGUUUCUUUGUUGGUGCUGGAAGGAAGUGAAGAGUUUAGCUUGACUUUGCUGGAUCGUGGGACGGUUUUAAGUUUCUUGGAUUUUAGAUGGGCCCUGAAAUUUGAUUUUAUGUUAUUAGUUUAAAUUUUAUCAACUUGUGUAUUUAGGCAUAUUGGUUGUUUUAGAGAAAUCUUGCUGUUAUGAUAUUAUUGUUACAACCCUCAGAUAGAACUCACUCUCAAAAGUUAACUGUUAAGGGGAGGGUGUCCAAAAGAUUAUAAAUCUCACAUCAAGGGCUUAGACUUUCAAUGUGGGACAAGUCCUAUACCAUGUAGCGGGCCAUAACAUAUCAUUAUGCUUUGCAGCUUGACGCCUUCGUUGGCAGGCUGUGCACUAGCCACUAUUAGUCUUGGGCGAACACUGCAAUGUUAGCUUCACCUUUGUCGCCAUUCGCUUGUAUUGGGAGCCAUGGAAUCGACUUUGAUACCAGUGUAGGAAACUUGACCAGGACUAUUUGUACGUCAGUAGACAAUUGCACCUCAUCCUUUGCUUGAGAAUUGUCGGGAUCCUGUGGUUGAGACGCUAUCUGUAUGCCAUAACACUCGUUGCCUGCCUUAAUUAGUUUUUGUAUCACAUUCACCUCGGCUACUCAGGUGGUACUCGGCUGCAUAGCUAAGCAAACUUGUCGGCCGACAAAGGUGAACUCCAUAGCCAUCUGCUUAUAAUCAAGCACAACCUUGUCCAUUUGGGCUGACCACUGUAGACCCAGUACUAUGUCUACUCUAAUUAAUGGUAUGACGUAUAAAUUUACAGUAACGGUAAUGUGUUGGAUUUUCAAACUUACAAUCUUGCACUACUAUGUGCAUGUGAGGUGCUUCCCACUGGUUACUCGCACCUCAAAGGGCUCAAUGCUAGUAGUUGGGAUCUGUAGCUUAUGGGCGACUUUAGUGCUGAUAAAAUUUUGGGUAGAGCCGUUGUCGAUCAGUAGGCUGACAACUUUGCCCUUGAGUAUCGCUGUCACCUGCAUAAUCUGUGGCCUUGCGGAUCCUGCUAGAGCAUGAAGGGACACCUCUGGUAGUUCCUUAGCCUCCACCCUACUGUUGGCUGCAAUCAUGUCGACGGGCAUGUCAGCUCUGCGUCCUCAUCUUUCUUCUCGGGUAGGUCUUCUACUUCAAUAAGAAAUGAUUGAGCCACUUUGCACUUAUGCCUCGGUGUGAACUUUUUGUUGCAGUUAAAACAGAGGCCUUGCUCUCGCCUCUUUUGCAUCUCGACCCAUGAUAACUUGUGGACUAUUGGUGGUAUACGCUUGCUUGCCGCUACUUGCGGUAUAAUCGAUGGCUUCGGCUUAGGUGCCCUAGAAUUGGAUCCGGCCAUGAUAGGGCCCUUGAAAGUCAUGGCCUUGGGCAUGGCUUACAAUUGGUCAUCCUUUAGCGGGGCAAUAUCUAUUGCCUGGCGCAUGUUAGUGGGUCUGUGUAGUUUUACUUUUGUAGCAAUCUUCGACUUAAGGCCCCCAAUAAAUGCCCCGAUCAGUGCCUUCUGUGGCCAGUCACUGACUUGCGUGGCCACCUGUUCAAAUUCUUGCUGGUAAUCAUUCAAGGAUUUGGUCUGGCGCAUCUUUGUUAGUACUUCUUCAUAGUCUGUGUAACUUGUAGGCCCAAAACGUGUUCGUACCUCUUGCUCGAAAUCCUUCCACCGGAUAAAUUGCCCUUGAUUCUCGUAGGUACGUGACAACCAUUGCCACCAAUGGCUAGCCUCGCCCUCAAGGAAAUAGGCGAUAUACUCCACAUUUUCCUUGCUGCUCAAGUCAUAUGUCUUAAAGAAAUGAUUGGCCCGGUUGAGCCAAGUGAUAGAAUCCUCACUAGUGAACGUUGGAAACUGCAGGUGUGGUCUGUGCGGGUGGUGCGUGUGGGAUUCCAGUUACUGCCUCGCUCAUCUGCUUUAGAUUCACUGUUAAAGCCAUAAUUGGAUCUCUAGUUGGCUGAGGCAACAGAUCGUUGCCUGUGGGAUGACGAACGGCUGCUUCCACGUCUGGGUGAUUGCUGCUGUUGUUGCUAUAUAAGAAUGGUAAGGUUGUGGUGAGUCUAUUCCACACGUGAAAACCUUUCUUCCAUGGUGUUAGCCAUGUUUUCCAAGUUCUCAAUGCGAUCUCUGUCCGUCUGUCCUCCUACCAUUGUUGGAUAAGAGUCGGAUAGUCAACUUCUGAGAACGUCUUCCAAGUACUAGAACUUCAAAAGAGAGGAUAGAUAACCUCUCAACGAGAGCACCAAUGAUAGAUGCCUUAGUUUUCGGAAGACUGAUUUUCACCUAAUUAUCUUAGGAUAGAAGGGAGAAAUCAAAAGUAUAAAGACAUUUGGGCAAAUUCAUUUUUUUAUUUUUUUUCAAAAGUCCCCAAAUAGAAAACAGAUCAAGUCUUAUAUAGAUAGUUGUCCCUGUCUCUUUGGUUGCCUAAAAUAUAAAUGUAAUGCAUGUAUGCUUAACAGACAUGAAUGUAUAUGAAUGUUGGAAUUAAAAGGAAAUACAUAAUUGCUGAAUUAAAGAACAAUUUGUGAAAGCUAGAUGAAGAGAAUGUUGAUUUGGCUAUUGGUCACCUGGCUGCAAGGAUUCAUGAGUUGGGCUGGUGGGCUCACUGGUGUCGGCCCUAUAGUGGGCUUGACCUAGUGAUUGACUAUGUUGGCUUGCUGUGGGCUUCGGGCUUGUUUGUGGGCUGUCCUUCCGAGCCUGGCAUGUCCUUAGCCUCAAGGGCAGAGGCUCGCAAUCCUAACAUUAAGAGUUUAGGGUCUUAAGGAAAUAAAUGACUCAUGUUACAAAAAUAAGAACGAAAACCUUUGUAUUAAUUGGUCUUGGGGUUUCGCUUCUCUUUCGUUGAGAGGUUUGUGUGGCCCUUACAUUUGACAUUUUAUU